ACCGUUCUCAGUUCGGAUUGCAGGCUGCAACUCGCCUGCAUGAAGCUGGAAUCGCUAGUAAUCGCGGAUCAGCAUGCCGCGGUGAAUACGUUCCCGGGCCUUGUACACACCGCCCGUCACACCACGAGAGUUUGUAACACCCGAAGUCGGUGAGGUAACCUUUUGGAGCCAGCCGCCUAAGGUGGGACAGAUGAUUGGGGUGAAGUCGUAACAAGGUAGCCGUAUCGGAAGGUGCGGCUGGAUCACCUCCUUUCUAAGGA
rnacentral:rRNA from 2 species